GCGCGCGUGCUGGAAUUGGUAGACAGGCUAGCUUGAGGGGCUAGUGUCAGCAAUGGCGUGGAGGUUCAAGUCCUCUCGCGCGCACCA
rnacentral:tRNA from 1 species